rnacentral:misc_RNA from 1 species
AAUAUGUUGACAGCUACUCUUAACCUGAUGAUAUCUGUACAUUCAUUCCUAUCUUGUUGCUAUGAUAGUAAAACUUGAAGAAAUUGACAACAGACAUACUUCUUGGGACAGGGGAAGAGGACAAAAUAGUUCAGAUAGUUUUAUUUAGGGAGGGAAAAAAUGCACAAGUCUAUCUUUCAUAAGACUACAACAGACAAGGAUACGUCCAGAAGAGCACAAAUGACUGCAAAGAAAAGAAACAAUGUCAGUUAAGUGUCAAAUUAAGGGUAGAAAGCUAGAUUAACAACUUGAAAUCAUAAUGUAGUGAUAGUAAAUUCCUCUCAGCAAUCAAGCAGUGGAACUGUUAUGUUGGAUACUAUAUCAAAACUAAAAGGUAGUU